GACGAACGCUGGCGGCGUGCUUAACACAUGCAAGUCGAACGGAAAGGCCUGCUUUCCCUUGUGGAUUGCGGGUACUCGAGUGGCGAACGGGUGAGUAACACGUGAGUGAUCUGCCCCCAACUUGGGUAUAAGCCUGGGAAACUGGGUCUAAUUCCCGAUAGGACUGCAGGGUGGUGCCUGUGGUGGAAAACGAUUUUCUAGUGGUUGGGGAUGAGCUCGCGGCCUAUCAGCUUGUUGGUGGGGUAAUGGCCUACCAAGGCGGCGACGGGUAGCCGGCCUGAGAGGGUGGACGGCCACAUUGGGACUGAGAUACGGCCCAGACUCCUGCGGGAGGCAGCAGUGGGGAAUAUUGCACAAUGGGCGGAAGCCUGAUGCAGCGACGCCGCGUGGGGGAUGACGGCCUUCGGGUUGUAAACUCCUUUCGACCGCGAGGAAGCCACCUGGUUGGAAGGGUGGUGACGGUAGUGGUAGAAGAAGCACCGGCUAACUACGUG
rnacentral:rRNA from 1 species